rnacentral:tRNA from 1 species
ACCUGGCUGGCUCAGUUGGUGGAGCAUGUGACUCCUAAUCUUGAGGCUGUGAGUUCAAGCCCCGCAUUGGGUG